AGUGAACGCUGGCGGCGUGCCUAAUACAUGCAAGUCGAACGGAGUGGCGCACGGGUGAGAAAUAUAUAGCUAAUCUGCCCCUUGCUAGAGGACAACAGUUAGAAAUCACUGCUAAUACUCCAUAGCAAGGGAUGAGACGAUAUCGUAUCAGCUAGUCGGUGGGGUAACGGCCUACCGAGGCUAUGACGAGUAACUGGUCUGUGAGGAUGAGCAGUAACAUUGGAAGUGAGACACGGUCCAAACUCAUACGGGAGGGAGCAGUAGGGAAGAGUGCGCAAGGGGGGAAUACCUGACGCGGCAUCGCCGCGUGGAGGAUGACACGCUACGGAGAGUAAACUCCGUUUGUUAGGGAAGCGGUACCUAAAGAAUAAGCACCGGCUAACUCCGUGCCAGCAGCCGCGGUAAUUC
rnacentral:rRNA from 1 species